rnacentral:rRNA from 1 species
CAGCAUACGCGGUUAUACAAUAGAUUCAAUUUAAUAUUUUUGGUUUACGGGAAGUUAAAGUUAUUUUUGAAAUUAUUAUAUUUAUUUUUAAGUGAAAUUUAAAUUUUUAUUAUUUUUAAUUUGAUUCUUUUAAAUUCUUUUAGUUAAACUAGGAUUAGAUACCCUAUUAUUUAUGAACGUUAAUUUUUUACCAGGGUAAUAUUAGUUAUGUUCUUUAAACCCAAAGAAUUUGGCGGUAUUUUAGUCUAUUUAGAGGAAUUUGCCCUGUGAUCGAUAAUCCUCGUUUUAUCUUUCUUGAUUUUGUUUAUCAGUAAGUAUACCGCCGUUAUAAGUUUAUUUUUUUAGAGAUAUUAAUUUACUUUAAAAGUUAUUACUUUUUAUUUCANGUCAAGGUGCAG